GCGCGAAAACUUUACAAUGCUGGCAACAGCGAUAAGGGAACCUCGAGUGCCAGGUUACAAAUCUGGCUGUCGAGAUGCCUAAAAAGCAUUUCAUAGCAAGGGCCGGGCAAGACCGGUGCCAGCCGCCGCGGUAACACCGGCGGCUCGAGUGGUAACCGUUAUUAUUGGGUCUAAAGGGUCUGUAGCCGGCCGGAUAAGUCUCUUGAGAAAUCUGGCAGCUUAACUGUCAGGCUUUCAGGAGAUACUGUCUGGCUCGAGGCCGGGAGAGGUGAGAGGUACUUCAGGGGUAGGGGUGAAAUCUUGUAAUCCUUGAAGGACCACCAGUGGCGAAGGCGUCUCACCAGAACGGACCUGACGGUAAGGGACGAAAGCUAGGGGCACGAACCG
rnacentral:rRNA from 1 species